rnacentral:sRNA from 1 species
ACAAGUCGAACGCAGGUUAAGAGCGCCACGUCCUGUGUCAACACCUACACUAGCACGUCCUGUGCG